rnacentral:rRNA from 1 species
AGUGAACGCUGGCGGCGUGCCUAAUACGUGCAAGUCGAACGCGAAAGUCCUUCGGGAUGAGUAAAGUGGCGCACGGGUGAGUAAUACAUGGGAACAUGCCCUUGGAUGGGGAAUAACGAUUGGAAACGAACGCUAAUACCGCAUAAUCUCGCGAGAGUAAAGGGUGCGCCGCAAGGGCUACCGUCCAAGGGUUGGCCCAUGUCCCAUUAGCUAGUUGGCGGGGUAAUGGCCCACCAAGGCAACGAUGGGUAACUGGUCUGAGAGGAUGAUCAGUCACACUGGAACUGAGACACGGUCCAGACUCCUACGGGAGGCAGCAGUAGGGAAUAUUGCACAAUGGGGGAAACCCUGAUGCAGCAACGCCGCGUGAGUGAAGAAGGCCCUUGGGUUGUAAAGCUCUUUAGCGUGGGAAGAAGGUAGAUAUGGUGAAUAAUCAUGUUUGCUGACGGUACCACGAGAAUAAGCACCGGCUAAUUUCGUGCCAGCAGCCGCCGCAGUAA